rnacentral:rRNA from 1 species
GUCCGCACAGUAAACGAUGAAUACUAGUUGUUUGCGAUAUACAGCAAGUGACACAGCGAAAGCGUUAAGUAUUCCACCUGGGGAGUACGUUCGCAAGAAUGAAACUCAAAGGAAUUGACGGGGGCCCGCACAAGCGGAGGAACAUGUGGUUUAAUUCGAUGAUACGCGAGGAACCUUACCCGGGCUUGAAUUGCAUUUGAAUGUCGUGGAAACAUGGCAGCCAGCAAUGGCAAAUGUGAAGGUGCUGCAUGGUUGUCGU